rnacentral:rRNA from 1 species
CGCGUAGGCGGCAUGGCAAGUUAAGGGUGAAAUCCCGGGGGCUCAACUCCGGAACUGCUCUUAAAACUGCUAAGCUAGAGAUAGUCAGAGGCGAGUGGAAUUCCUAGUGUAGAGGUGAAAUUCGUAGAUAUUAGGAGGAACACCGGUGGCGAAGGCGGCCCGCGUGGGGCUAUUCUGACGCUAAGGCGCGAAAGCGUGGGGAGCAAACG